UGGCUCACGGGCCCAGCCGCUCCGCGGCAUGUGGGAUCUUCCCGGACCGGGGCACGAACUCGUGUCCCCUGCAUCGACAGGCGGACUCUCAACCACCGCGCUACCAGGGAAGGCCCAGCAAGACUCACUCU